AUUGAACGCUGGCGGCAGGCCUAACACAUGCAAGUCGAACGGUAACAGGAAGAAGCUUGCUUCUUUGCUGACGAGUGGCGGACGGGUGAGUAAUGUCUGGGAAACUGCCUGAUGGAGGGGGAUAACUACUGGAAACGGUACCUAAUACCGCAUAACGUCGCAAGCCCAAAGAGGGGGACCUUCGGGCCUUUUUCCAUCGGCUUUUCCCAGAUGGGAUUAGCUAGUAGGUGGGGUAACGGCUCACCUAGGCGACGAUCCCUAGCUGGUCUGAGAGGAUGACCCGCCACACUGGAACUGAGACACGGUCCAGACUCCUACGGGAGGCAGCAGUGGGGAAUAUUGCACAAUGGGCGCAAGCCUGAUGCAGCCAUGCCGCGUGUAUGAAGAAGGCCUUCGGGUUGUAAAGUACUUUCAGCGGGGAGGAAGGGAGUAAAGUUAAUACCUUGGCUCAUUGACGUUACCCGCAGAAGAAGCACCGGCUAACUCCGUG
rnacentral:rRNA from 1 species